UCUCCUGUCCUCAAUAGAUGACUUCCAGCGGAGUAGGCGACGUCAACAUACCCAGCUGGGCAUCCUCAGACAAAUUUAUAGCAGUUUAACAGAACAGCAAGUUACAGUGUCCAAGAAAUACCAACGAUUUGCAAAAUAGAAUAAACACCGCAAAAUGUUA